GACGAACGCUGGCGGCGUGCCUAAUACAUGCAAGUAGAACGCUGAAGAGAGGAGCUUACUCUUCUUGGAUGAGUUGCGAACGGGUGAGUAACGCGUAGGUAACCUGCCUUGUAGCGGGGGAUAACUAUUGGAAACGAUAGCUAAUACCGCAUAACAAUGGAUGACACAUGUCAUUUAUUUGAAAGGGGCAAUUGCUCCACUACAAGAUGGACCUGCGUUGUAUUAGCUAGUAGGUGAGGUAAUGGCUCACCUAGGCGACGAUACAUAGCCGACCUGAGAGGGUGAUCGGCCACACUGGGACUGAGACACGGCCCAGACUCCUACGGGAGGCAGCAGUAGGGAAUCUUCGGCAAUGGGGGCAACCCUGACCGAGCAACGCCGCGUGAGUGAAGAAGGUUUUCGGAUCGUAAAGCUCUGUUGUAAGUCAAGGACGGGUGUGAGAGUGGAAAGUUCACACUGUGACGGUAGCUUACCAGAAAGGGACGGCUAACUACGUG
rnacentral:rRNA from 1 species